UACGUAGGGUGCGAGCGUUGUCCGGAAUUAUUGGGCGUAAAGGGCUCGUAGGCGGUUUGUCGCGUCGGGAGUGAAAUCCACUGGCUUAACUGGUGGCUUGCUUUCGAUACGGGCAGACUAGAGGUAUGCAGGGGAGAACGGAAUUCCUGGUGUAGCGGUGAAAUGCGCAGAUAUCAGGAGGAACACCGGUGGCGAAGGCGGUUCUCUGGGCAUUACCUGACGCUGAGGAGCGAAAGUGUGGGGGAGCGAACAGG
rnacentral:rRNA from 1 species